UUGAGCCUAAAGCGUUCGUAGCCGGUUUUGUAAAUCUUCAGAUAAAGCCUGAAGCUUAACUCCAGAAAGUCUGAAGAGACUGCAAGACUUGAGAUCGGGUGAGGUUAAACGUACUUUCAGGGUAGGGGUAAAAUCCUGUAAUCCCGGAAGGACGACCAGUGGCGAAAGCGUUUAACUAUAACGAAUCUGACGGUAAGGAACGAAGGCUAGGGUAGCAAACCGGAUUAGAUACCCGGGUAGUCCUAGCUGUAAACAUUGCCCAUUUGAUGUUGCUUUUCCGUUGAGGGAAGGCAGUGUCGGAGCGAAGGUGUUAAAUGGGCCGCUUGGGAAGUAUGGUCGCAAGACUGAAACUUAAAGGAAUUGGCGGGGGAGCACCGCAACGGGAGGAAUGUGCGGUUUAAUUGGAUUCAACGCCGGAAAACUCACCGGGAACGACCUGUGCAUGAGAGUCAACCUGACGAGCUUACUCGAUAGCAGGAGAGGUGGUGCAUGGCCGUCGUCAGCUCGUACCGUAGGGCGUUCACUUAAGUGUGAUAACGAGCGAGACCCACAUCCUUUAAUUGCAAAUGUAUAUCAGAAUAUGCAUGCACU
rnacentral:rRNA from 1 species